AUCUUUGUUACAACAAUUGUUGCAUUAUUUGCUUUAACUUAUAAAUGUUGAUUGCACAGUGGCUGUAGAAUAUUGACACUAUCUGCGUUUAGAUUGGUUCCCACAAGCUUCACUGUCACUAUGAUCUGCCUCCAGGUACAACCUCCUGGGAACAUGAAGGCUCCAUUUCAGAGUUGUAGCUCCAGUCCUCAUCGGCAUCAAAGUGCACGUCUCCACCAAUACCCAACCCAGGCAGGAAGGCGUGAGCCAGGAUUCCUCCUGUGCCAUCAAAAGCUCACCGCCGGUGUGGAAGGAGAUGACGAUGUCAGCCUCUUUCCUGCCCCGCUUGCGAAAUUUCAUCGGUGUAACGUUGGACCAGAUCUUCCACGCCGCCCUGAAGAUGUUG